rnacentral:rRNA from 2 species
GCUUCUUUUUCCACCGGAGCUUGCUCCACCGGAAAAAGAGGAGUGGCGAACGGGUGAGUAACACGUGGGUAACCUGCCCAUCAGAAGGGGAUAACACUUGGAAACAGGUGCUAAUACCGUAUAACAAUCGAAACCGCAUGGUUUUGAUUUGAAAGGCGCUUUCGGGUGUCGCUGAUGGAUGGACCCGCGGUGCAUUAGCUAGUUGGUGAGGUAACGGCUCACCAAGGCCACGAUGCAUAGCCGACCUGAGAGGGUGAUCGGCCACAUUGGGACUGAGACACGGCCCAAACUCCUACGGGAGGCAGCAGUAGGGAAUCUUCGGCAAUGGACGAAAGUCUGACCGAGCAACGCCGCGUGAGUGAAGAAGGUUUUCGGAUCGUAAAACUCUGUUGUUAGAGAAGAACAAGGAUGAGAGUAACUGUUCAUCCCUUGACGGUAUCUAACCAGAAAGCCACGGCUAACUACGUGCCAGCAGCCGCGG